UACAGAGGUCUCAAGCGCUGUUCGGAUUCAUUGGGCGUAAAGGGUGCGUAGGUGGCGCCGUAAGUCGGGUGUGAAAUUUCGGAGCUUAACUCCGAAACUGCAUUCGAUACUGCGGUGCUUGAGGACUGGGAGAGGAGACUGGAAUUCAUGGUGUAGCAGUGAAAUGCGUAGAGAUCAUGAGGAAGACCAGUGGCGAAGGCGGGUCUCUGGACAGUUCCUGACACUGAGGCACGAAGGCCAGGGGAGCAAACGGG
rnacentral:rRNA from 1 species